CUCCUGAUGGUGUAGUUGGUUCAUCACGUUCGGCUGUAAUGGUUCUUCAAUGCUACCGAAAGGUCCCUAGUUCGAUUCUGGGUCAGGAGA